rnacentral:miRNA from 1 species
UGACUAGAACCAUACUCAGC